CUGAAGAUCCCGAGUGACGCGUCACCGCCGGGCAGAGCCGCCGUAUCGAAGGAAAGGAAAGUACGAGUCGUUCAUCAGCAGCUCGAGCGGUAAUCAAUCAGGUCUUUAUGUCUCCAAUUAAACUGAGCUGCGUGUCUUUGGACUGUGGGAGGAAGCCGGAGAACCCUGGAGGGAACCCACUCUGCCAUGGGGGAGAACGUGCAAGCUCCACACACAUGGGUCCGCCCCGACCGGGAUCCGAACCCCCGGGCCCCCCUCUUGCUGUGAGGCGACGGGGUUUGAAAUGCAACUCUGUCUGUGACCCGAUAGACGGAAGAGACAGAACCCACGGCCAGACUUUGGGAACACCUCUUCACAGGCAGCUCUGGAGGCACAGCGCCCCGCGUCGUGGUUUCUACCGAGGGGGCCUUUCUUCAGGCGACGCCCCGCGCCGUGGGGUUCCCAGCACUGACGGCGGGCCCGCUUACGGUACGCGUGACACGGCGGCGAGUCUCGAGAAAGGAAAGAGGAGGUCGUCGUCUUCUGUUUCAACUUCUUCUUCCUGCCGCAACGAUAUUCCCCCCCCCCCCCCCUGAGAGAGAGAAUCUGAAAGCAAAAGCAGGACACGUUUGCACGAGUACGUUUCUUUUCUCUGGUUUAGGUUUUACGUUUGACCUUUGGCCCCAUGAUUCAUGUGAAUCAUAACUAAAGAGGAAACUCACAUCUAGUUGUGUGUGUUCUGUUCGGUUUGAGAACACGUUUUGCAACUAUUUGUUACUGUAAAAACACACGUUUCACUUUGUUUUUCUUAUUUAUUGAUCUACUUCAAGAUCAUUUCACACAAUCAUCGUUAAUUUUUACAGCACGAAGAUAAUUUAAUAUCACCCUUCAACCUUUUAUCACAAAUAUAUUUCACCUUUUCCAAUCAAAUAAGAAGGGAGAUCCCCCCCCCGUUGAGCGUAUUCUGAGAGCAGGGACGAUAUUUUAACCUGAAAACAUCAGAAACGAAGAUUAGUUUAGUUUAGUUUUGUUUUGAAAGGGAACUCCUCCAUCGGAGAUCGACGACGAGAGACCAAGAACAUACACCACAUGCACAGUGCAUGAUGCUCAAUCUGAUUUAAUAAAUGUUUAAUAAAAACAUUGGAUCGAGUACUCGGACCGUUUGCUAGGACGCUUCAAAUUCAGCCCAUUUCUCCUGAUCAUGUUCAUGUUUUCAUUGUUCAUUUCAUUGUACUACCUGUUAUCCCCCGACUCCGUUCAAGUUGAAUUUACCUCCAUUCAAUAUUGUUUUGGAUGAUUCAUGUCAAAUGUGUUCACAAUCGUAUCACAUUUAGGAAUCCAAAUCGUAUUUUAACAUUUUAUUUAAAAACAUUUCAACAAUCCGCCACCAGGAGGCAGUGUGUCAGUGGAAUUAGAUAGCAGCUCCAAUAUUUCACCCCACACACAGUACAUGACCCUUUACCACAACUUAUCUUUAAGAUUAGAUUUUCCUUUUAAACUAAAGAUCUUUAAAAAAGUCAAACUGUUACAGGUACAAAAAUAAUUGCAUAAAAAGCACAUUAUUACAUUUACAGGGACGGGACUUCACAGCUUGAUUAUGGUUGUGUCUCGUAUUAUAAUCUGCCGUUCAGUUCACCAACAGGUGCCACAGGGUUUGUCUGGAUUAGAGCUGCAGGCCUGGAUCUGGGCCCUGGAGAGAGAGAGAGAGAGAGAUAUGAUAUGCAGUACAUGUGGCGACGUCCUCGAACACAGCAUCGUCUACGUAUACGUACUCGGCCACUUCCUUGCAUUCAUACGUAAUGUUUGGAUCCAGCUCCUUCUGCAAGUCCUUCAAAGAUGCAUUUGUGCAGUUUGUCCUGAAGAGGAAACAGAAAACACGAGUUCAGGAUCGAACAUCUCGGUAGUGAGUUUGUUCGACUCCCAGCGUUCCACAUUAACCACCGGAAAAUAUAAUGCUUUGAAGUUUUUUUGCGUAUGAGGAAAACCAAAAAUCUCACACAAAGUUCUUCUGUGUGACCAGAACGACCUUCAGGCUCUUCACCCGGGGAAAGUGGAACCGCUUCACCUCGUUGCUCGCAAAGACACUGACGGAGAAACAAAGAGAAAGAAAAGAAUAAAGAGAAAAGAAUAGGAGCUAAGGAUGCUUCAUGGACAUAACUCUCACCCAAUGUGACUUUUUAAUGAUGCUUAAAUGCUUGAUUAUUGGCCAUUAAAUGACAUCAAGCCACAACUACACACUAAGCUUUCCUUCACUAAUUUAUCACAUCAUUUUGGUUUGUUGGUUAAUGUGUAAAGUAUAUAGAAAACCUCAGAGAAUGAUUCUCUUGCUGCAGAGCGCCUUAUUCUCUAAUAAUCAAAGAAAUGUAGUUAGAAAACCAUGUUUACUACACCGUAUGUAAUCCACAAACUAAAUCCUAUAGGAAUGCAAAGAAAUGCAAUGUUUUGAUUGUUUUUUCGGGGCUGCAUGAGCCUCUGAAAAGAUCCGACUCACCUGGCGGGAUGGAACGGCGUGGCGAUGGAUCCGUUCAGCAUCGCCGAGACGUCGCCGCAGGCACCGUCUGCAAACUACACCGAGAUGCACUUUACAUUCACCCGACAAGACUCUUUUGCAAUGCAGACAUUUAGGAUUCAUGCAGCAGUGAACAUACAUUAUAUUACACGGCGUAUGUAAAUCAACUGGGUUCACCUGUCCUUGAAAUAGCUCAAAUAAACGGUCGAUAUUUAGGAGAAA